rnacentral:rRNA from 1 species
AUGACUAGGGAUAACCUUACUAAGAGACACAUCAUCAAACCCCUUGAUUGUGUUUACUGCUUGGAACAAGAGUCUUGUUCUCACCUAUUUUUUGAAUGUAUAGUUGCUAAACAUCUCUGGGCCCACAUUGAGGAAUAUUUCUCUAGUCAGAUUGGCUCAUCCUUCGAAUCUGUCACCAGAUUCUGGAUUGCUACCAAAAAAUGCUCAGUUUUAAACACUGUUAGCUCAGCUGUCCUUUGGAGCCUCCGGAAAUAUAGAAAUGCUAUGAUUUUCAGUAACACCUCCUGGAUUCCAUUCUGCAGGUCUUGA